AAAUUACACCAUUUGGGCCACACUAAAACAUUGUUUAAUACCGCUCAAUGUAAAAAGAAAUCUAACCGGCCAAAAUACAAUGAAAACAAAGGCUUGCUGUACGAAGAAAGAGAGAACAGAGUUUGUAAUCGUAAGACAGAGUGCUUACUGCCUCCGCCGUUCCCUCCCCAUACUCCGACCACCAAAACUGCAAACACAUAGUCUCUUCCGUUCCGAUUCUCCUUCUCUUUCGACAAAUUCAGCCGUUCUCUCUAUCUUUCUUAAAAGCAAAAACCCUAGCCAUUGAGUUCUCUUUCCAUCAGCCCAGCCUCCACCCAAAUAUCGUCGGGAAAAACCUAAACAACCCGAUAACGAACUUAAUUUUGGCCUCAAUCCCAAUCAACCCGAUUAAAAGGAAAAAAAAAAAAAAAAAAUCAAAAACUCCCAUUGCCCAUGUAUCCAUAGUUUGCAAUCAGAGAAUGUCUUUCAAUUUCUCUACCGUUCACAAGUAGAGGGAUAUCACUCCACUGGAUGUGAAUGGCGAUGUUGGGGUCUCAGACAAAGAUGAUGAAGAAGUUUUAAGACAAAGAACAUGAAGCUGACAACAACCAAGUUGCCUUCUCCACCAAAUUUCUUCCAAGGAUAUUCUCAUCAUUUUCUUUUUAACUUUCUUUUUUUGGCUAAUAUUUUGUAUCCAUCAUAGGGGAUGUUACCAACCACUUUAGUUGCUUAUAAUAUACUUGAAAGAAAUAUAUUUGUAAGAAGCAUAUUGUUUUGGAAAUUAUAGUUGUAAUUAUGCUUUCUAAACCUA